rnacentral:rRNA from 1 species
UACGUAGGCAGCAAGCGUUGUUCGGAGUUACUGGGCGUAAAGGGUGUGUAGGCGGUUCUUUUAAGUUUGGUGUGAAAUCUCCCGGCUCAACUGGGGAGGGUGCGCCGAAUACUGAGGGACUAGAGUACGGGAGAGGAAAGUGGAAUUCCUGGUGUAGCGGUGAAAUGCGUAGAUAUCAGGAGGAACACCGGUGGUGUAGACGGCUUUCUGGACCGUAACUGACGCUGAGACACGAAAGCGUGGGUAGCAAACAGG